GGGACCAAGAAGAUGAAAAGCAUUUUGUUUGCCCGAAGUACCAGAUUCCAAGUGUCUAAGUUGCAGAUGGCCAUAUGGAUGUCUUCAGAUUUAGUUUUUUCACGUUUAACCACUCUAGAAAAUAUGCAGAUAUCAACCUAUAUGGCAUACAUAUUGUCAUUAAUUGAUAAGCAGUGGCAGACACUUUUAGGGGAGGGGAUUAAUAAGAUCGAGGACAUACAGGUAUGACCUUUUUUGUGGUAAGCCAUUGGUGGUAACUGGUAAUCUUAUUUCUUUAAGCUUUUGCAGUUGACUUCAUGCAAUAUGUAGCUUACUUUUCAUCCCCCAAUGCACUCAUUGUUGAAAAGUAAUAAUACAGCAUUGUUUAAUAGUUUUCA